GGGCUACACACGUGCUACAAUGGUUGGUACAACGAGUUGCGAGUCGGUGACGGCGAGCUAAUCUCUUAAAAGCCAAUCUCAGUUCAGAUUGUAGGCUGCAACUCGCCUACAUGAAGUCGGAAUCGCUAGUAAUCGCGGAUCAGCACGCCCGCGGUCCGAAUACGUUCCGGGCCUU
rnacentral:rRNA from 1 species